CCUACGGGAGGCAGCAGUAGGGAAUAUUGCUCAAUGGGGGAAACCCUGAAGCAGCAACGCCGCGUGGAGGAUGAAGGUUUUCGGAUUGUAAACUCCUUUUGUUAGAGAAGAUAAUGACGGUAUCUAACGAAUAAGCAUCGGCUAACUCCGUGCCAGCAGCCGCGGUAAUACGGAGGGUGCAAGCGUUACUCGGAAUCAAUGGGCGUAAAGAGCGCGUAGGCGGGAUAGCAAGUCAGAUGUGAAAUCCUAUGGCUUAACCAUAGAACUGCAUUUGAAACUGUUAUUCUAGAGUAUGGGAGAGGUAGGUGGAAUUCUUGGUGUAGGGGUAAAAUGCGUAGAGAUCAAGAGGAAUACUCAUUGCGAAGGCGACCUGCUAGAACAUAACUGACGCUGAUGCGCGAAAGCGUGGGGAGCAAACAGGAUUAGAUACCCCGGUAGUC
rnacentral:rRNA from 1 species